AUCGGCCAAGAACUGACCUUCGGAGAUGUCCACCAUUUAGUGACAAUGAAGUUGCUAUUUAACAAAAAAAACAUGUACUGAAAUCAGUGGAGGAUCUGAAUCUAAUAACACUCCUUACUGAAAUAGAAAAGAGGAAACCAAACACUUAGCUUCGAUUUUGUUAUUGGAACUCCUGGAAAAUGAAGAACGCUGGCCUUUGAUUCUGUGAUCCUCAAACUCAUCGAAUGAACGCCUCGGCUGCCGAUUUGAAGAUGGUGUAUGCUUCUUUCGAGUUGCAAUCUAGACGCGUUUUUCUCAGCUUCUUCUUCAACAAAAUCAGUGAAAUUAAAUGUCAACAGAAUCUGCUGAAAUCAGAAUCUUUGCGCAACAAAUGUACAAGUAAAGAUUGAGAAGACUCAGCUCAAUCUUCAUUCUGCGAUUUUCUGGAAAUCAGCACAUCAACUACUCUGAAGCAUCUUCAGAGAUUUUGAUGAUCAAGUAACAACGAAGAACUCCUUCGAUCUUCAUCUGUUCCGUCUUCAAUCAAGAGAGAGACCGACCGAGAGACAAAUCCAGAGAGCGAGAGACAGAUCCUGAGCGCGAGAUCCAGCCAGAGAGGAAUCGUCGGAAUCUCUCUUGCGCGCGAGACUACCGGCAAAGCAGAACAAGAAAACGAUUGGAAGCUGUUGCUGCCGCUGCCGUCGUUACCACCAUUGCCAAUCGGCUUUGGAGCUCGAGAAGGUGCAGAUGAGGAAGUCAAGAUCCUCAAGCUAAAGAGAGACCGAUUUCCACCUUGAAUCGAUUCGGCCGUCAAACCCUAGAUCGCUCUUCGAGAUGCAGAGAGAGUCGGAGAGCGCGAUAAUCCCCUCAGCAAGAGAAUACCUCUGAGAGCAUCCGCGCGAACGGUUUUUUUAGAGAGAGAGAGAGAGAGAGAUCGUGAUCCAGAGAGAGCGGGAGCGAGAGAGCGUCUCCAAGAGAAAUCCCCCGUGAAUGGCCC
rnacentral:lncRNA from 1 species